AUUGAACGCUGGCGGCAGGCUUAACACAUGCAAGUCGAGCGGAGAGAGGUAGCUUGCUACUGAUCUUAGCGGCGGACGGGUGAGUAAUGCUUAGGAAUCUGCCUAUUAGUGGGGGACAACAUUUCGAAAGGAAUGCUAAUACCGCAUACGUCCUACGGGAGAAAGCAGGGGACCUUCGGACCUUGCGCUAAUAGAUGAGCCUAAGUCGGAUUAGCUAGUUGGUGGGGUAAAGGCCUACCAAGGCGACGAUCUGUAGCGGGUCUGAGAGGAUGAUCCGCCACACUGGGACUGAGACACGGCCCAGACUCCUACGGGAGGCAGCAGUGGGGAAUAUUGGACAAUGGGCGGAAGCCUGAUCCAGCCAUGCCGCGUGUGUGAAGAAGGCCCUAUGGUUGUAAAGCACUUUAAGCGAGGAGGAGGCUACUUUAGUUAAUACCUAGAGAUAGUGGACGUUACUCGCAGAAUAAGCACCGGCUAACUCUGUGCCAGCCGCCGCAGUAAAAC
rnacentral:rRNA from 1 species